UACGGAGGGGGCAAGCGUUGUUCGGAAUUACUGGGCGUAAAGGGCUCGUAGGCGGCCAACUAAGUCGGAUGUGAAAUCCCCAGGCUUAACCUGGGAACUGCAUCCGAUACUGGAUGGCUUGAAUCCGGGAGAGGGAUGCAGAAUUCCAGGUGUAGCGGUGAAAUGCGUAGAUAUCUGGAGGAAUACCGGUGGCGAAGGCGGCAUCCUGGACCGGCAUUGACGCUGAUGAGCGAAAGCUAGGGGAGCAAACGGG
rnacentral:rRNA from 1 species